UUGUUUUUUCUGCUCGUGCAAUUUUACAUUCUGUUCAAAAGCUUGAAUUUUCAAGUUCAAGAGAAUGGCACAUUCACACAUAAAUUACUUCUAAUAAAAAUGCAUCUAUAAAUGAAGCUAAAACCUGACUGCAUAGCAUUUUUGUCCUCAAUUUGGGGACAUUUUGCUGAAAAGCAUCUGCAAACUUAACAUUAGCAUUGUGAUCAAUUUUUUUUUUUUAAACCAUCAGGCAACAUCAUACCAAAAUAGGGUAUCUUAAAGCAUCUCAGAAUGCUAUCUAGGUAGCCAGUACCCUAGAUUUUGAAGCACAGGCUAACAUGACAGCUUCAUAAAUUACUAAGCUUGACUGAAAUGCUUCUUUGUGCCUUUUGUCACCUAAACACCCAGAAUGCAUUGGGGCAAGGGAGUGAGGUGAUAAGUGCGAAGCAAAGAUACAUUUGCUCCGCAGAAGUGGCCACAGUGCAGAUGUUGCAGGUUAUUUCCGUGAAGUUUCAUCAUGAUGCUGGGACACUGAAAUCUGAAUUGUUCAUGCUGUUGAUUUCAAACCGUUAUUUGGCUAUCCUUGGAUCCUCAAACAGCCCAGUAAGAGCUUGUGCCUCCGUCCUAAAGACUUUAAGGCUUCCAGCUGUCAUUACUUUCUCUAAAACCAAGCAAUGGACUAUUGCGAGCCAAGCCAGCCCCUAACCAGUAUUUUUGGACAGUGGAAGCUCUGAGUAGCCAUCAAACGAGGCCCUUUUAUCCAGGCACUGCUGAUGAAACCGAAGCUCAAGAGGAGGCAAAGUGUGUUUGGUUGUUUGAGACAUGCUAGGACAUCCAUAGCACAGAAAGAGAUAGAAAGAGAGAGAUAAAGAGCAAGAGACAGAAAGAGAGUGAACUGAGUGAUUCAGUCACGUACAGCCCAGGCAUUAUCUAGCCAACAAUAAAAGAUUACAUCAUAUCAGCUGGCAUAAUUUCUUCAAGGUCUUUUAUUGAUUCUUUGAAUGGUGAGUGCAGCUGUUGAAAGUGUACAAAAGAAAGUCAUUGUAUUUACGGGAUCACAUCAGGAUUUUAUAGGCACACAGAAAUGA